CUUGCGGUAGCAGCGUGACUUACGGCCGCCCCCUCGGAGAAAGCCGUUGAGGACGGAAUGCAGAAGCCGGUACCGGCUCGCAAGCACCGCGAGCUGGCCGCUCUCCAGAAUGACCCAGUCAGUGGUCGUACAGGUCGGCCAGUGCGGAAACCAGAUCGGCUGUUGCUUCUGGGACCUGGCGCUAAGGGAGCACGCUGCGGUCAACCAGAAAGGAAUUUAUGAUGAGGCAAUAAGCAGCUUCUUUAGAAAUGUGGAUACCAGAGUGGUUGGUGAUGGUGGAAGUAUUUCCAAGGGAAAAAUACGUUCUUUAAAAGCACGAGCCAUCUUGAUUGAUAUGGAGGAAGGGGUAGUGAAUGAAAUUCUGCAGGGACCACUGAGAGAUGUAUUUGAUACGAAUCAGCUCAUCACUGAUAUUUCUGGCUCAGGAAAUAAUUGGGCUGUGGGUCACAAAGUUUUCGGCAGUCUUUACCAAGACCAGAUUUUAGAGAAACUCAGAAAGUCGGCAGAGCAGUGUGAUUGCUUGCAGUGUUUCUUUAUAAUACAUUCCAUGGGAGGAGGAACAGGAUCUGGACUUGGCACCUUUCUUUUAAAGAUGCUUGAAGAUGAAUUCCCAGAAGUAUACAGAUUUGUAACUUCCAUUUAUCCUUCUGAUGAGGAUGAUGUCAUAACCUCACCUUAUAAUAGCAUCUUGGCAAUGAAGGAACUUAAUGAACAUGCAGACUGUGUGUUGCCCAUUGACAAUCAAUCUUUAUUUGACAUCAUUAGCAAAAUUGACCUCAUGGUGAAUUCUGGAAAGUUGGGUACAACUGUGAAGCCAAAGAGUCUGGUUACUUCAAGUUCUGGGGCUUUAAAAAAGUGUCAUAAGAAGCCCUUUGAUGCAAUGAACAACAUUGUGGCAAAUCUGCUGCUCAACCUAACAAGCUCUGCAAGAUUUGAAGGGUCCCUUAAUAUGGACCUUAGUGAAAUCAGCAUGAAUUUAGUUCCUUUUCCCCAGCUUCAUUAUCUCGUGGCAAGCCUAACACCUCUAUAUACACUGGCAGAUGUUAGCAUUCCUCCUAGAAGAUUGGAUCAGAUGUUUUCAGAUGCCUUUAGUAAAGAUCACCAGCUGCUUCGGGCAGACCCCAAACACAGUCUUUACCUUGCUUGUGCGCUCAUGGUGAGAGGAAAUGUACAAAUUUCAGAUCUUCGCAGAAAUAUUGAAAGAUUAAAACCAUCUCUACAAUUUGUCUCCUGGAAUCAAGAAGGCUGGAAGACCAGCCUGUGUUCCAUACCUCCUGUGGGCCAUUCUCAUUCAUUGUUAGCUUUAGCAAAUAACACUUGUGUGAAGCCCACCUUCAUGGAACUGAAGGAGAGAUACAUGAGGCUCUACAAGAAAAAGGCUCACCUUCAUCACUAUCUACAAGUUGAAGGGAUGGAAGAAAGCUGUUUCACAGAAGCUGUGUCAUCUUUGUCAGCACUCAUACAGGAAUAUAACCAACUGGAUGCCACAAAAAACAUGCCUGUGCAAGAUUUACCCAGACUAAGCAUAGCUGUUUGGUGUUUUCAUUGGUUACCCUAUUAGAUAUUCCCAUCCCACAUGUUCUGGAGCAGGCAGUCCACUUUGUUGCUUGCACAAGACAUUUUUUUUUCCAAAUAAGUGGGAGAUUUCUAUAAUCUAAAACAAAGGGAGAAAAGUAUGUAUGUAUACAUAUAAAUGUAUAGAUAGAUAAUUUUUAAUCAUGUUUAACCUAAUAUUUAAGAAAUCUGAAUUUUUUUAUAUAAUGUAAUUCAGAAUAAAGAAACUGAUGGUCUAAUUUAUCAUUCUAUCUCCCUCUUUCCCAAUCCCAAAAUUACCUUUCAAUCAAGUAUUACAGUCUAAUCUCUAAGAAGGAAUAAAAAUACUUUAUCUUAGAAAAAGUGAGAUUUACUCAUUUGCAUCUUUCUGCUUAGCCUGUCUUCUGAAUACUAAAUGUAAGCUUAUGUUCUUGUUGAUAAGUUGUCUUUUCCCUGGUUCUUGCCUCAUUAUUUAACAGACAUUGAAAUGAAAAUUAAGGAAUUUGAGAUAUUGAUGAGAACAGUGUGAUCUUAAUGUUAACUUUCAUGAUAUGUUAAAAUCUAAAAUACAAAAAGUAUGUUUGAGAAUUAGACUAUCAAUGAAAGGAUUUCUUCCAUUUGUUUUAAUCUAGUCUUUUAGAAAACUAAGUAAUAUUACACUGAACUAAACUAUCUAAUCAUUUAUAUACAAAGUCAUUGCAAAUGGAUAAUUUCAUUCAUCCAACUUAAUUUCAAUACUCCUUGUGUUAAUCAGGCCCAAGGCACUCUCCAAUUGGCUAUGAUUUCAGAUUACUUAUGAAAAAACUGAAUGAAUGGAUCAAUAGAUAAGUCAGUGAGUGAGUAGAUAGAGCCCCUCCAAUGUCUACUGCUAAGGAGAAAUAGAAGAGGGUAAUAAUGAGAAUAUAAGAGAGUAUAAUAAUUCUCCCAUUUCUGUGUAAGGUCAUUGGGAGCUUUUUGUUAUAAAUGAAUCAGGCCCUUGGCUCAUUUUAAGCAGACUACAUAUUGACUUGUUGUCUCAAGGCAUUUCCUUAAAGUAAAUGUGCAUCUUGAAAUGGAUGCUUUGGAGUGUGGUUGUGAUUUGAUUCUGCAUAGCAAAAUUCUGGCUAUAUUACUUCAAAAAAUCAAUUUACAACUUGAAAAAGACUCAGAAAAAAAAUGCCUUCUUCAUAGGAAAUAGUCUCUUUUAAGUAUGUGCCAUCUUUGAAUUGAUGGUAUGAUACUGCUUUUAGUGUUAUUACAGUAGAAUCUGUCACAAUUGCACAUAGAACUGAGGGAGAGGAAGUAGAAACGUGAAGAUACCUGGAAGGUAGACAACAGUUUAAAGACCUCAAUGCAGGAAGCAGAUUAGAAGCCUGGCACGUAUCUGCAAUAAAUAAAGGCAGGUUAGAUUACCGUGGUACAGUAAUCCCACUUGUUAAACCAAGAGCUGUAGUUCAGGAGUUUAACAUUCAUUAAAAAGCAAGAAAACUAGAAGAGAUUUUUGAAACAAAGCUUAGUGUUUGGUGAGCAAUGAAAAAAGCAUGAGGGCAUUAUGUCAUUGCAUGCUUCAUACUGACCUAGCAAAAGCUAGAUUCCAACCAGAGACUAUAUAAAUUACCAUCACAAAUUUUUCUUAAAGUUUGUGUUUUUAUCAUUGUGGUUAAUUUUAAAAGCCAAAUUCCUGUGUGGGCCGUAAACAUAAUUUCACAGUUAAGCAAAGAAGAGACCUUAGACUGAACGUCUUCUUCCUUUGAAACACAUCCAGGUCUAAAUCUCAAAUACCAGAGAACAUUUCAGGAGAUUUUCUUGUUUUACGUGACAAAGCACUAACUACUAAGACUGACUAUCGGAUGCUUCUCCCAACCAAGGUCAAAGUGAAUCCACUGAACUGCUCCAAAUUCUCAGAUGAGACCAACUUGAACUUGAUCCAAAGGGCUUUACUUGUGGAAAACUGCUCUAAGACAUUUAUCCCUGUCUGAGGCAAAGAUUGAGUAAGAUGAUGUACUCAAACUGUAUCUCACUCUGACCACCAAUCAAUAAGUACUUAACUGGGUACCUGUGGUACAUAAAAGGAACAUAAAAGAAUACCACCAUGCUCAUACAUGAAAAAUAGCUCUACUUUUGAGCACCUGGCAUUGUUUUGUAGCUUGUUGAAAGCUGCUGUAGUAAUGGUUCCAGGCCACAGUUUGACUGAUCAGACUUCUUUCCACCUUUGGCUCCAGAGCAGUGACUGUCAGCCAGCUUUGGUAUGAACAGAGGCGUGCAUCCAAUGGCCCCACUCACACAGAGGCAGCUAAACAAGGGGUUGGGCUGAAACACUUGGCCAUUAUGAUAGUGUACCCCAUUGAGCUCGCAUCCAACAGCUACAAGGUCUGAAAAGUGAAAAGAGCAAAAUCACCAAAGAAGCCAUAACCUGUGACAGUCUGGACCUCCAAUUAUAAACCUGAGAAGAAAUGGCUUAUCUCCUGAAUGAAGUAUAGCUUUCAACCUCUUAGGUCUCGUUUGGAAUUUCCUUCACAGGACAUCUGUAGAAAGGUUUUUAAAAUGAGGCUUUUUCAUUAUAUUGUAGGCUAUAAACCCCACAUGGUCACUUCCAGAGUUAAGACCAAGUAAAGACCCUGCAAAAUCACGGUAAGCAUAGCAGUUGAUAAUAAAUCUGAGCUAGGUUGAUGCUUAGUGAGACAGGUUUUCUCAGACAUCCAGCAAUAGGCUAGGAUAUAUUCUCAGAAAGACAGGAUAAGUGACUAUCUGAAAAAACUAUAACUUAGUUAACUAUGGAACUGCAAAGUACUGAUGGUUUUUGUUAAGAGGUUGUAGGAGAGUUUCACUUCCUCUGAGGGGUAUUCUUGACCUUCUAGAUCAGCUGUUCCCCAAGUAUGGUCCUCUAACUGCUUGGCAGUACCUGAGACACUUUCAGGGGAUCUGCAAGGUCAAAACUCUUUUCCAAAUACUAAGGUGUGGCUGGCGUUUUUCACUGUGUUGGUAUUUGCACUGGCGGUACAAAAGCAAUCAUGGCUAAACUGCUGGUGCCUUGGCAUGAAUCACACUGUAGAGGUAAUCUUGUAUUUUUCCUUGCAGGCACUUAUACUUUAAAAGAGGUCGGGAGAGUUUUACUUAACAAUGUCCUUUAUGGCAUAGUAAAAAGUAUUAAUUUUAUUAACUCUUAAUUAUCAAGUACUGGUCUUUUUAGUAUUCUAUGUGACAAAAUAGGAAAUAUAUAUAGAAUAUUCUAGUGCAAUAGCUGUCUUGAAACUUAAGCAAAUAGCUGUCUCAGGGAAACUUAAGGAACUAUGUCAUUGGUAAAGUUGUGAGCUGAACUAACCACUUUUUUUAGUAGGAAUUUACUUGAAGAAAUGACUGACAAUAAACUGGUUAUUCAGACUUGGGUAUUUUGGAAACAUUUUUUUUUUUUUAAUGAGCAAAAUAAGCCUGUCACUUCAAGGAAAACGACUGUGACAGCAUUUUUUGCCAGUGAGAAAACUCAAGAUUUCAAGGAAAAAUCAGAAUUUUGGAAAACUCGUAUCCAUCACUGAAAUCUUUGUAUUUAUCCAAUAUGUAGAUUCUUCUGAUGAGGAUGAUAUUAAUGUGAUUUUUUUUAGCGUUACAUAAUUAAGUGUAUCAAUAUUUUGGACAUCUCUACAUCACAGUAAACAUAUUUUCCAAAUAAACAAUGCAUAGAAUGGUAAUAUUAUGCAUGAAUAAAAGAUCUAUUCCAAAUGGGUCUUGGAUAGACCAAUGCAUUUUAAUGUCACAGAGCUGAAAAUUCAUUGAUGUGGUUUCAAAUUCUCUGAUGCAGCUAAUUUUUAAGACACUAUCACUUGUCAAGUUUUAAUAUAAUAUCAAUAAACAUAAAAGUAUAUUCACAAUUAUCAGAAAAACCUUUUAAAAUAUUCCUCCCUUUUCAAAUUAUAUAGCUGUGUGAUGCUAGAUUUUCUUCACAUACUUCAACAAAAAAAAGCACAUAGUAACAGGUUGAAAAAAGCAAUAAAUAUGUGAAUCUAGCUAACUUCUAUUGAGCUAGACACUAGAGAGGUUUGCAACAAAAUGUAAAACAAUGACACUCUUUUACUAAACUUUUCUUUGGCAAAUAAGUUAUACAUAUUUUAUAAAAACAUAUUAUUCUUAUUAAUCUGCAAUGGGUUUAUUCUUUGUAAAUUAAUAAAUAUUUCUAAGUUUCUAAUCCAUCAAAUAUCAACGGAUAAACCCCACAUAAAAUCUCUUUAGAUCCUCAUUAAUUUCUAAGAGUAUAAAGAGGUAAUUUCUAAGACUGUAAAGGGGGUCCUCAUAUCAAAAAGUUUUUAAAACAUUGCUCUUGAUCAGGGAUCACCAAAUUUUCUAUAAAGAGCCAAACAGAAAACAUAUUAGCCUUUGCAAGCCAGAGAGUGUCUGUCAAAACUACUGACUCUGCAUCGUAGAGCAGCCAUAGAAUCUAUGUUAAUGUACGUGCCAUGUUCCAAUAAAGCAUUAUUUACAGAAACAGGCUAUUGGCUAGAUUUGACCCUAUAUAGUUUGGUGUCCCAGUUAUAGAUUAUCCCUAUUACUAUCCUCAUGGCUAUGCUCUGUAAAAAAGUCUCAUCACAUUUUGUGUGAAAUUACUGUGGAAAUAUCUGACACCUUAAUAUUUGAUUCUCUGAGGCCAAGGCUUGUAUCACUUUUUCCCUGUCAUAUCCUCAGUUGCUGGCCACAGUGAAUGGUCACUAAGUGUUUGUUGGGUUAAUGAAAUAACCUGCCCAGCUUGGGAGAAAUGAGUGUCCUGAAUGCCAUUGUUUGAUAGGUCAUGUUUUCCUUAUAGGAUUCCAAUAAAUAACAUUUUUGAGAACCUACUGAAUACCAGAUAUUGUGCUAGGUGUUUUAGGUCAUUUUAUUUGAUCCUCCUAGCAACUCUGUAAGUUAGGAAGUGUAUAUUAUGUAACUGAGGCACAGAGAGAAUAAAUAUCUUGAUCAAGUAUGUUCACUUGGCAGAGCAAUCAGGACUUGAACCCAGAUCCCACAUUUUUAACCAUACAAUACAGGGCUGGCAGGGUCAUCAGGCUAUCAAACUUGAGUUUGACACAUUCAGUCUGACUCCAAAGAUAGAUUCUCAUUCCGUGGCUCAUAACUGUACCUCUAAUAGUAAUCUGCCUUCCUUCUUAGACUUUUUUACAGACAGACUAAACUGUCUGGUGACAUAAGUAUUUCUCUUCCCUUAGAAAUUUUUUUUUAAUCCUAAAUAAUUUGGCAUCCUGAAUUAGUGUCAAUGUUUAGAUGGUCUGAAUCAGUCUCCAAAGCUUAGUAAUAUAAAGCUGAGGGUCAGGUUGUGGUUUGGGAUGACUUCACCUUUUUUUUUUUUUUUUUUUUUUUUUUUUUUUUAACAAAUCUGCUGAAGUAAAGCACAGCAACUCAAUCAUUAGUUGGGAAAGCUGAGGUUAAAGUCAUAUGUCUGAAUACUGGGUAUACAUUCUAAUAUUUUUAAGCUGACUAUUUUUUGUUACGGAAAAGGCUGAAUUCAGAUUGUUUUUUGACUGUAUUAACUAAAGCUGUCAUUUUGUAGCACUUUAAGAAGUCAGACUCUAUUUGGAUAAUUCCUCUUACCUUCAAUCAGUAAAUUACCUGAGAAGAACUGCAAGAUCACCUUAACGCAGUGAAAAUAAUGGGUUUCUAAAUGUGUGUAAGCAUCUGCUAAUAUAGGAUCCACUACAAUGGAGACAGUCCCACUAGUGCAUGAAAACUAAAUCCAUCUCAUAUUUAGCCAAAUUGAGCUCAUCACUCAAAGCUAAUUGCAGGAGAAAAAAAAAAAAA